rnacentral:rRNA from 1 species
AGCGGCGGACGGGUGAGUAACGCGUGGGUAACCUGCCUCAUACAGAGGGAUAACAGUUGGAAACGGCUGCUAAUACCGCAUAAGCGCACAGUACCGCAUGGUACGGUGUGAAAAACUCCGGUGGUAUGAGAUGGACCCGCGUCUGAUUAGGUAGUUGGUGGGGUAACGGCCUACCAAGCCGACGAUCAGUAGCCGACCUGAGAGGGUGACCGGCCACAUUGGGACUGAGACACGGUCCAA